GAUCAACGCUGGCGGCGUGCUUUAUGCAUGCAAGUCGAACGGUUCUUUGGUCUUCGGAUCAAAGAAGAGUGGCGAACGGGUGAGUAACGCGUAAGCAACCUGCCCCCAAGCUGGGAAUAACCUCGGGAAACCGGGCUAAUACCGAAUGUGAUGAUGGGGUGAUGCUUCAUCAUUAAAGCCGAAAGGCACUUGGGGAGGGGCUUGCGUUCGAUUAGCUAGUUGGUAGGGUAAUGGCCUACCAAGGCGACGAUCGAUAGCUGGCUUGAGAGGGUGGUCAGCCACACUGGGACUGCGAUACGGCCCAGACUCCUACGGGAGGCAGCAGCAAGGAAUAUUGGGCAAUGGGCGAAAGCCUGACCCAUCGACGCCGCGUGGGGGAAGAAGGCCUUAGGGUUGUAAACCCCUUUUCUCAGGGACGAAUGAUGACGGUACCUGAGGAAUAAGUCUUGGCUAACUACGUG
rnacentral:rRNA from 1 species